rnacentral:lncRNA from 1 species
CCCUCCGCGAGCCCCGCCCCUCCGCGAGCCCCGCCCCCUCCUGAGCCCCGCCCUCAUCCCGCCCCCGCAGCCUCGCGGGAGUUAGCGGAGCCCCCGGGGCAUCCCCGGAGAGGGCGAGCCCGGGAGGCUCCCGGGGGGCGGCGGCCGGUCCCAAGCCCGCGGCGGCGAGGGGAAGGCCCCUGCUGGCGGGCGGGGUCCUGGCGCUCCCUUGCGGACUGACCCGGUUCCUCGAGAAGGUAACGACAGCGUCUCCGGUGUCCGCUCCUCGGGCCGGGGCCGCCUCCCCCGCGGGGGCCGCCUGGGGGCGCUGGUUCCGAAGCCCGCCGGGCCGCGGAGCGCCUUCGCCAGGCCCCGGGGUGCAGCAGCCGCGCCGCGAAGCCCGCCCCCCCCGCGAGUGUGCUCGGUGACCGACGCGGAAGAUCGCUGCCUUCUCUCUGCCUAGGACCGUGUCUGUGGCCGCUCACCCAGCCCGCCCUCUUCGGCCCGCUGGGACUGACAGGUCCCUGAGGUCUCCAAAACUACGAGAUCAAAGAGGAGGAAGAGUCUGCAUUCUCUACAUUUGCCUUUGGAGAAUGCAGGAAUCAGAGAUUUGGCCCCUGCGACUGAUUUUAAGUGUCCCUCCGAGUGUCCCGGGGUGCAGCUUUGUGGAGACUCCGGAGGAAGACUCUGGUCUUGGGAUUGGGGUCCCACAGCGUGGGUGAGAGAGGGGUUUGCUUUUUUGGUUUUGGUUUUCCUCUUCGGAGCUAGGCGAGGAAUCGCAUCUAGUGAGGGUCUGCCGCAGAAGCAAGUCUCAGCCAAUGUUGAGAGCAAAGAUUUCAAAAAGCUGAAAGUACUGAUGUUCAUUCAGCCCAAAGAAGCCAAGAAAAAUCUCAGAGAGACUCAACUAUAUCUAAAGAAGAAUAGGUCAUUUCGUAGUUUGCAAAAUGAAGUGCAGCUCCAACUUUGCCAGACAACAUUCUAUCAAGAAUUUGAAGUUGAAAGUAUGGUUCUAAGAUAAGGACAUGUACCAAAGGAAUGCUGCUUGAUUUUUGCUGGACACUUAAAGGUCAUGUCAAGUAAUACAAGCAGGAACAAAAAUACCAACUCUGAAAUUUUAAGUGACUUUGAAGAAGGUGACAUUAUAAAGUAAAUAUUGUCUGAGUUUCUCCGUCUCCCAGUAUUAUUUAUUUAUAUCUUUUUUUAAAAGAUUUUAUUUAUUUAUUUGAGAGAAAGAGAGAGAGUGAGCAUGAGUUGGAGGAGGGGCAGAGGGACAAGCAAACUCCAUGCUGAGUGGAGCCCAAGGCAGGGCUCAAUCCCAAGACCCCGAGAUCAUGACCUGAGCUGAAGUCAGUUGCUUAAUUGAUUGAGCCACCCUGGUGCCCCUCAUCAUUUUUUAUUUAAAAGAAUUUUUAAUUAUAUGUGUCAUUGCAUUAAAGUAAUUUACAUAGUACACUAUAGUAUUGAAAUACUUCCGUAUGAAAUAUUUCAGUAAUUGAAGUCCUUAGACAAACCAUAUUUUUCCUCAAGGAAGAGCCAACAUAUAGCCUAAUGUAUAUUUUGUCUAAUAUAGGAUACACAAGAUUCCUAAGUGGUUGUUAUAUGAAUGAUUGACCGGCUAAAUGAGUGAGUUACAAACCAUGUCACUUUAGAGGCUGAGUAGUAUUAAAAAGUAAAAUGUGCCAAAACAGUUACUGAUUAAAGGAGCUCCUUUUGGUUUUUUAAAGAAACCCAGUGCUUGCAAAAAUUUUUAUGCAAAGGGAUAGGACUUAGGAUAAGAGAGCAGUUUGUGUGUAGUAAUAAAACUUGCUUCAUUUUUUUGUUGUUGAGGGCAGAUUGGAUCUGAAGAUUUUUUUUUUAAGAUUUUAUUUAUUUAUUCAUGAGAGACACACAGAGAGAGGCAGAGAGGCAGAGACAUGGGCAGAAGGAGAAGCAGGCCCCUUGCAGGGAGCCCAAUUGUGGGACUUGAUCCCGGGACUCCAGGAUCAUACCCUGAGCCAAAGGCAGAUGCUCAACCCCUGACCCACCCAGGCAUCCCGGAUUUGAAGAUUCUUAAAUCCAAAAGUCUCUAAGUGUAAAGGUUUUGGGAGGUGAGAACAGUUGCUGGGAUUGAUUUUGGAAAAGUCACUUCAGGUCAGAUAUGACACUGAAAACAAUGCUAAAGAAUCUGGACUACAGAUUCUACAGGCAGUAGAGCUCUUUGAUGGUCUGUAAGUAGGAGGGAGAUGGAUCAGAUGAACAUUUAUAUAGGUGACUGGUGUGAUGAUGUGUGGGCUGUAUUAGAGAAAAGACAACAUGGAUUUGGAGAAUAAUUGCGAGAUUAAUGAGCAGGUCUUGGACCAAGGCACUGGGCCUGGGUGUACCAAUUAAGAGAUGGAUUCAAGAUGUUUUACUGGCAAUAAAUUCAAUGAGAAGGGCAAAGGAAAAAGAAGAGAUGCAUUUCUAAGAAUUUUCAAUAAAAAUUAAAUUUUAUUUUUGCAUGGCAUCCCCAUUUUUAAAUGUAUGAAUCAUCAUUGAUGGGUCAAAAAUUUCUUGAUACACUAAACACUGGCCAAGGAGUUAGCCAACCUGUGACUGGCUGAACAUUCUAGUGCUGGAGGUGCUUUGGAGACAUUCUUAGAACCUAUGAUCUCCAAGAUCUUCCCCAGGAUCAGUGUUAGUGAUAGAUGGAACCUCAGAGGUCACGUAACAGAAAGCUCAUAUUGACGGCUAGUUAGUGGCAGAAGUGCAAGCAGAAUCCUGAUUUUAGUGCCCUGUUCAUUUUACCGUGCUGCCUCAACUGUGUGUGGAUCAAAUAGAGCCACCGGUGUUUCAACUAAAGGGAAGAAACUUAGAUCAUCUGUACUGGGGCUUCUCAAAAUGUCUAUAAUCAUUAGGGUUCUCCAGAAAAACAGAACUAAGAGGAUAUAUAUAGAUAUAUAUGAGAUUUAUUGUAGGAAGCCAAGCCAAUGCUCAUGCUAUUAUGGAAACCAAGCAGUCACACAAUCUCCUGCUUUCAACCCCGGAGAACCAGGGAAGCCAGUGGUCUAACUCAGUCCAAGUCCAAGGGCCUGAGAACCAAGAGUGCUAAAGUCCAGGGCAGGAGAAGAUGGAUGUCCCAGCUCAAGCAAAGAGAGAUUUUAUUUUUAUUUAUUUAUUUUUUUUGAGAGAUUUUAAUUUUAAAGUCAUGCUACUCUUCUCUAAUUCCACCUUGACUCUUUAUUACUACAUCUUUUUCAAUAUUAAAGUCAUAAAAUAGUGUAAUUCUGUAUACAGUCACAUGAACACCAUCCUCCCUCACUGAGCAUCAUGGAUCUAGGUCAGUAUCUUCAUUCCAAGUCUGCUGUCCUGAGAACAAAGUACCUCCCCCCUUUUUAAAGCAUCUUUUUCUCAUAGUAGUAAGUUGUUGGAUGGAGAUAGGACACAGCAUUAUGUAUGUUUAUGGAUCAUGCUGCAGUUUUAGCAUGUAAAAUAUUCCAGACUAAAGACUCAUUUGGCCUGGAAUUCUUUCUUAUACUAUAGUUGGUACAAAUUAAUUCUGCUGGAGCUGAUAGAUUAUCCAAAAGGAAAGUCCAGGCCAAUCCUUAUUUAUUAAUUCUGUAAGUUUAAGAUUUAUUUUUUAAAAUCAUGUGCUUAAAAUGGUGCAUACUUAUAAUUCCACAGGUUCCUAGAAUUUCAUUGUAAGAAUAAUAUCAGAGCUAAAAUAAUUCUAAGAGAUGGAUUUGUUUUUAUUUUCCAGGAAAUCUGCCUUAUAAGUAAAUACCAAUCAGCCUACUUCAAUUUUAUGUAAAAUAGAUGUAAAAUUUCUGAUAAUGAGUGAAGAAGUAUUUGAUGAUAUUCAUAAAAAUGAUUACUGUUUUAAGAAAGUCCUUUUGGAAAGCCUACAUAAACUUCAAAGCCCAAAAUAUUUACAUUGAAAAUGAAUACUAAGGAAAAUUAAGUAUCUCUAUUUAAAUGUUAGCUAUUAACACGUUGUGCUCAUGGAUCAGUAGCCUUGAUUAGAUAAUAAACCAUCACAGAUGUAGGGGAGGCAAACUUUGCUCUCUGCCUUCUCAGGAUUUUUCAUCUGGGGCAGAAAAUUAAACUGACAUACAACAGAUUACCCAGAGAAAAGCAUACAAAUUUAUAUAAGGUUUAUGUGAUAUAGGAGCCCUCCUCAUGACAUGAAGACCCAAUGAAGUAGCAAACUUCUAUAAAGUGCCCGUUAAGAAUUAUUAUUAUUUUUUUAAGAAUUAUUAUUUUUUUAAAAUGGCGCUAAACCGCUGAGCCACCCAGGGAUCCCAAGAAUUAUUUUUAAUAAGCUUUGUAUAGAAUUUCUCGACUUUGCCUCCCUGUUGAAGAAAGUUUCUUUGUUCCUGAUAGAGGGAAGGCAUCUGUCACAUGGGAGUUCUUAAUCUCCCAUUUUCAGGAAGAAAAGAAGGAUAUUAGAAUGCUCUUCUUACAGUCUAACUCUCUGCUGUUUCCUAAGUGUCUCUAGUUGAAAAUAAUCCUUAUGCCAAAGUGGUAUAUUUUGGGGUGGUGUACAUCCUGUCACCCAUCUCAGACCAGAGGAAUUUUUCAAGGAUUAAAUGAGAAAAUCCUCAUGGAACUAUCAGAUCCGUGCCUGGCAGAGCAAUACUCACUACAUGGUAUAGUCUUUACUCCUGUUGCUAAUUGUAGUUAAAAAUAAUGAUAUGUCAUUGACGGAUACAACCCUUCAAAUUAACUUUUUAAAAAGUUGUGACUAUAAAUGCUGUGUUGCUUAGGAAAACAGUUGGCUGGUUCAUUGCUAGGUUUAUAAUUUGAAGUUAAAGCGCCUAUUCACGGGGAUAUUCUGUGAUGUUGCAGAAAUUCUUGAUGAGGCAGGAGCUGUGUGUGAUUCUGGUUGACAAUUGAAGGGCAUUUUGUCACAGAAUCCUGGGACAAGUGAAAAGCAGUUUUUCAUUUUCAUUAUUUUGGAGGAAUGUGAUUUAUAAGUGUUUAAUAGUUCUUUUUUUUUUAAGAUUUUAUUUAUUUAUUCAUGAGAGACACAGAGAGGCAGACAUAGGUAGAGGAUGAAGCAGGCUCCCUGCAGGGAGCCUGAGGCAGGACUCAAUCCCAGGACCUUGGGAUCACAACCUGAGCCCAAGGCAGAUGCUCAACCACUGAGCCAUCUUAGGCAGGCUCCAGUGUGUAUUAUAAUUUACUUUCUUUUAAAAAAAUUUCCUUUUUAUUUAAAACAUCUUUCUUGGGUAAAUCUCAUGAGUCACAUAGCCUUAGUUUCAGAGUGAUGGUGAUUUAACAUUAGUGGCCCUAAGUUUUUUUU